CAUGGUUUCGAGUAUUUCCGUGAGGUGUCGGGCAACAUCGGUCCAUAACAACGACUGACGCUUCGACGCUCCCUGGCAUAGCAGCGCCGUUGUUGCGUCGCCCCGCCGCCACGCGACGCUGCCGGCCCGUGGUUUGUUGUUUGCAUUCCGCCUGCCACAAUAUUAUUAUCCUAUCAGCCGGUGUGUGCGACAGUACUUUAACAAAUAACUAUACAAAAUUAAAAAGUGCUACAAACAAAGCAAAUCAAGACAAAGUAUUGAAGUAUAAUGGAUUCAACAAGGAAAACCGAUUCGAAGAAUCAAAAUAGAACACAGAACGCUUCUUACAAUCCAUGGAAUUUGUUAUUCAAUUCAAGAAAUCGGUCGGAAAGUGAGAGUAGUGCCAGUUCUACUAAUUCAGAUAAUUGUCAAUCAGGUUCCCAGUUCGGUGGUUACCAGCGACAGGCGAGCAAAAGUAACGAGGAAUAUUUGUACAUGUUAUGGCGAUCUUAAGUACGAGUACAAUGAAAGCCUUAGUUUUAUAACAAUUUCCAAUAGUCAUAAACUAUGAACUUUCUGGAUUCGGUUGGCAUCGGACGUCGAUAAUGUUGGAGCAAGUCGCCUUCCUACCCACAUGGUUUCUGAUAGCCUGGUUGGGGACGUGCAUCCUCUUCAGCCCUUUUGCAAUAUUCUUCGUUGUAUGUUUACCGCAGUUGCCACUUCUAGUCAUUCGGAGGCUAUGUCAUAUACCAUUCGAAUAUAUUUGACGAUAGUCUCCAAAGGACUUAGACAUUGGAGGUUCCGCGAAUUUUAAGUACAGAAAUGAGAGUGAUACUAGUUCUAAUUUAGUAUGUAAAUAAUUGUAUAUAAGAAGAGUCAAUGUUAUGGCUAGAUAUAUUUUUUACUUGCAUCCAUUUGUUUUAGUAUUAUAUUAUUUUUAAACU